AAAGUUAGUCUAAUCAAGACA
rnacentral:tRNA from 2 species